rnacentral:rRNA from 1 species
AAUCUUCCGCAAUGGACGAAAGUCUGACGGAGCAACGCCGCGUGAGUGAUUUAGGUCUUCGGAUCGUAAAACUCUGUUGUUAGGGAAGAACAAGUAUCGAUCGAAUCGGGCGGUACCUUGACGGUACCUAACUAGAAAUCCACGGCUAACUACGUGCCCGCAGCCGCGGUAAUACGUAGGUGGCAAGCGUUAACCGGAAUUAUUUGGCGUAAAGCGGGAGCAGGAGGUUUCUUAAGUCUGAUGUGAAAGCCCACGGCUCAACCGUGGAGGGUCAUUGGAAACUGGGAAGCUUGAGUGCAGAAGAGGAGAGUGGAACUCCAUGAGUAGCGGUGAAAUGCGUAGAGAUAUGGAGGAACACCAGUGGCGAAGGCGACUCUCUGGUCUGCAACUGACGCUGAGGCGCGAAAGCGUGGGGAGCGAACA